CACAGUGCAGAUGCAGCCCUAAAGGCACCAGAUCCUGCCUGAUCUUGGAAGCUAAGCAGUGUCAGCUCUGGUUAGAGCUUGGGUGGGAGACCACUGACAAUUUCAAACAGCAGGUGCUGUAG
rnacentral:rRNA from 11 species